GACGAACGCUGGCGGCGUGCCUAAUACAUGCAAGUCGAGCGCAGGAAACUGACGGAACUCUUCGGAGGGAAGGCAGUGGAAUGAGCGGCGGACGGGUGAGUAACACGUAAGGAACCUGCCUCAAGGAUUGGGACAACUCCGAGAAAUCGGAGCUAAUACCGGAUAGUUCAACGGACCGCAUGGUCCGCUGAUGAAAGGCGCUCCGGCGGCACCCUGAGAUGGCCCUGCGGUGCAUUAGCUAGGUGGUGGGGUAACGGCCAACCAAGGCGACGAUGCAGAGCCGACCUGAGAGGGUGAUGGGCCACACUGGAACUGAGACACGGCCCAGACUCCUACGGGAGGCAGCAGUAGGGAAUCUUCCACAAUGGACGAAAGUCUGAUGGAGCAACGCCGCGUGAGUGAUGAAGGUUUUCGGAUCGUAAAACUCUGUUGUAAGGGAAGAACACGUACGAGAGGAAAUGCUCGUACCUUGACGGUACCUUACGAGAAAGCCACGGCUAACUACGUGCCAGCCGCCGCGGUAACAC
rnacentral:rRNA from 1 species